UCUGAAUAUGGGGGGACCAUCCUCCAAGGCUAAAUACUCCUGACUGACCGAUAGUGAACCAGUACCGUGAGGGAAAGGCGAAAAGAACCCCGGCGAGGGGAGUGAAAAAGAACCUGAAACCGUGUACGUACAAGCAGUGGGAGCACCUUCGGGUGUGACUGCGUACCUUUUGUAUAAUGGGUCAGCGACUUAUAUUCUGUAGCAAGGUUAACCGUAUAGGGGAGCCGCAGGGAAACCGAGUCUUAACUGGGCGUUAAGUUGCAGGGUAUAGACCCGAAACCCGGUGAUCUAGCCAUGGGCAGGUUGAAGGUUGGGUAACACUAACUGGAGGACCGAACCGACUAAUGUUGAAAAAUUAGCGGAUGACUUGUGGCUGGGGGUGAAAGGCCAAUCAAACCGGGAGAUAGCUGGUUCUCCCCGAAAGCUAUUUAGGUAGCGCCUCGUGAACUCAUCUUCGGGGGUAGAGCACUGU
rnacentral:rRNA from 1 species